rnacentral:lncRNA from 1 species
CACAAGAUCCUUAUCAAAGGAAACUCAGGAUACACCAAAAAAGAUCUAAUUGGCCUAUCCUAAUUCUUGCAUUCCUCGAGUGAAUUCUGAUAAAAAGUAUUCUUGAUGCACAAACCUGAAAAGAAAAACAGACUGUUAGGAAAAUUAAUGUAACAAUGUUUUAUUCCCAAAAGACACGUAUAAAAAAUGAAGCAUUCCAUAUUCCAUAAACUAGCUAAGGACUUAAUGUGCUUCCAAUCAACUGCUUGUGAGCGCAAAAAAGUCCCUAUACAUUUCUAGCAGCAAUAUUUCCCCUUUUCCAAUUUUUUCGUGAUGCUGAAAUUCACUUACUAUCCAUUGGCUACUAGUGAUGGUAAUGCACUUUUUUGGCACAAAGGUGCCAUGCCUACCCAUUUCCAUCCAAUACCCUUUUGCGGCAGGCCAGGCUUCGUCGAGCCAUGUGCCUGUCGCUCAGGCAACCAAUCAUACUGUUUAUGACUGGCAGCAUUUAUACACCAUACUACUACAGAUACAAUGAGAUGGCUGGCAUGCAAAGUAUUAUGUAGAAACUGAUAGAACAUUAUCUUAUAUCGUAGAGGCAUAAGUGACUACUCGUAUAUACCAUAGACUCACCAGAACAUAUUCUUGAAACAGGCCGUAUCGGUGGGACCGUGGGAAGUCUUCAAGGCGAAUCCCAUGCUGUUACUUGGAGGUUCAAGCCUGGAAGAUAAAUAUGGCAUUAAAAAAGAGCAGAAAAAUACUAUAUCAUAUAUCAACAAAUAACUAAGGGAUGUAAACGCUCUCAGAAUUAUUCAAGAGUUAUCUAAAAUAUGUAUAAAAAAGAACACAAGCUGCCUACUGGAUUUCUACAAAAUAAUUGAGAGGUCCUGAUAUGCUUUCCUAAUAAAAGUGAAAAGUAGCAGAUGGCCAGAUGACCAUUUAAGCAAUAAUAGUAACAGAAGAAUACCUUUUCAAAGGUAAAAUAAAAUAUAUAUUACAUGCAACUACUAUAGUAUUGUAUUUACAAAAUUCAUUGGCAUCCGCAUAUUGUUCUUAGUUAGUACACAUGCACAAGAAAGAAAUUCAUUAGCAUCCUGCAACUACAUAUACUACCUGCAACUACUGCUCACCCUGCAUAAAUUCACAAUAAAAAAAUAAAAAAAUUAAUGAUGUACUGUUAGCACACAUCUAACUGACAAACAGAGAUGCAGAAAAUUAGAUGAAGCAGAUGACACAACACAGAUGACUAAGUAGUGACUGAACUUGAUAUCCACAAGACAUGAACGUGUUCCCCACUUCUCAACUGGAUCCACAAAAUUCUAAACUAGAAAACAAUCCAGCCCAAACUUUUACAGCCAGCCAAUGUUAGUAAACUAUAAGUUGACUACCAGCUAAUAGCCAUAUAUCCUAGAUGGCUAAACAGAUCUAUCCUGAACCAAUAAGCCAUAACACUCAAGGAUCUAAAAGACCAUUGCGCUCUUUUGUUUCCUAUAAUAACACUACUGAACAUAAUAACUAGGUUGUUUGGAGUAGAAUGCUACCGAACCAAAUUUGAUUAGUAAGACAAUAAUGGUAAAAAUAAUUGGCACCCAAUCUCACCUACUCCUCCCUCACCUCGUUCUUCUUCACUAAUGUUAUGUAUCUCAAUCUGAAGCUGUGCACGAUUUUUCUAGUCAGGUCAGCCCUGAGCUGUACGGGGACAGCAGGCCGAGGCUCUUCACGUACUGGACAGUGAGUACCUCCUGCUGCUGCCUGUUUUUUUGCAUCGCAUACAAUCUACAUGAUGCACAUAUGGCUGCAGAGCGACACGUACGAGGCUACUGGUUGCUACAACGCGCUGUGCCCGGGGUUCGUGCAGACGAGCUCCCGCAUCGCCAUCGGCGCGUCCAUCUCGCCGGUGUCGUCGGUCGGCGGCGCGCACUACGACAUGAGGCUGCUAGUGUGGAAGGACUCGAAGCUGGGCAACUGGUGGCUCAGGUACGGGGACCAGCUGGUGGGGUACUGGCCAGCGCAGCUGUUCACGUUGAUUAAUUCCAACAACACAAUAUCAUCCCCAGAGGUAGGGCGUCGCUCGUGCUCUGCUUUAGGUUUGCUAAAUUGAAAACUACAGAGGCAUAAAUCCAUUCACUCGAUAGAUAUGUGAGACUACAGAGACAUCUAAAAAUUGAAAACACAAUGCUUACAGGUUCACGUAUAUACCUCCACGGUACACACUGCUAUCGAAGGCCGCCCCAAGAAGCGGAUCUCGAUGUUGAGUGGCGCAGCGUGCUCCACUUCGCAUCUCCCAGAUGUAGUCAUCCGCCAGCGGCGAGCUGGGUGGAGGUGGGGCUC